rnacentral:rRNA from 1 species
AGAACGAACGCUGGCGGCAUGCCUAAUACAUGCAAGUCGAACGAACUCUUCGGAGUUAGUGGCGCACGGGUGCGUAACGCGUGGGAAUCUGCCCCUUGGUUCGGAAUAACAGUUGGAAACGACUGCUAAUACCGGAUGAUGACGAAAGUCCAAAGAUUUAUCGCCAAGGGAUGAGCCCGCGUAGGAUUAGCUAGUUGGUGAAGGU